UACGUAGGUGGCAAGCGUUGUCCGGAUUUAUUGGGUUUAAAGGGUGCGUAGGCGGUCUUAUAAGUCAGUGCUGAAAUAUCCCGGCUUAACCGGGAGGGUGGCAUUGAUACUGUAGGACUUGAGUAAAGUUGAGGUUGGCGGAAUUGACGGUGUAGCGGUGAAAUGCUUAGAUAUCGUCAAGAACACCUAUAGCGAAGGCAGCUAACUAAGCUUUAACUGACGCUGAGGCACGAAAGUGUGGGGAUCAAACAGG
rnacentral:rRNA from 2 species